AAGAAGCACCGGCUAACUCCGUGCCAGCAGCCGCGGUAAUACGGAGGGUGCGAGCGUUAAUCGGAAUUACUGGGCGUAAAGCGCAUGCAGGUGGUUUGUUAAGUCAGAUGUGAAAGCCCGGGGCUCAACCUCGGAAUAGCAUUUGAAACUGGCAGACUAGAGUACUGUAGAGGGGGGUAGAAUUUCAGGUGUAGCGGUGAAAUGCGUAGAGAUCUGAAGGAAUACCGGUGGCGAAGGCGGCCCCCUGGACAGAUACUGACACUCAGAUGCCGAAAGCGUGGGGAGCAAACAGGAUUAGAUACCCUGGUAUGUCCACGCCGUAAACGAUGUCUACCUUGGAGGUUGUGGCCUUGAGCCGUGGCUUUCGGAGCUAAC
rnacentral:rRNA from 1 species